CACAGCCGCCCCUCACACACAGCAGCCCCUCACACACAGCCGCCCCUCACACACAGCAGCCCCUCACACGCAGGUGCCACUCACACGCAGCAGCCCCUCACACACAGCCGCCCCUCACACGCAGCAGCCCCUCACACACAGCAGCCCCCGGCUUGGACCACAGACAGCAUCACCUAAAGGGAAGCCUUGGCAACGUGAGCACAAAGCAGCUCUUCACAGGUCACAGAAUGGGAGUCGUCCCACGAGUCUCAGUGGUACCUGUGCUCCUCCAUCCAACUUGGCUGAUUAAAUGCUUGUCCGUUCAGCUUGGCCUUAAAAAACAGAAGCAACAAUUUAAAUCGCAGAAAUAAGUGGCAAGACUGUACCUAUGGGGAUAUUCAAGAAAUACAUUUUUUCUCAAAAGUAUAAAAUCCCCCAGUUAAACCAUGCAGGUUUGGAGACUUGUCUGCACGUUGUUGUGCAAUUUCCCUCCGUGCUCAGGGUCCGUCUGUGCUUUGUUCUCUGGGUGAGAUAAUUCAUAUUCUUCUCCAAAACCUCCUUGCUCCACUCUCUCACAGUGUUGUUGCUUGCAGCCAUGGAAUACAGAUGAUUGUUUUUAUUAGGCAGUGAAAACUUAUACUGUCUUGUAAACAGCCGCAGACUAAAACUGGCUGAAAAGAGCAUUUCUGCAGCUGGAAAACGUGGUUCUUGUUUUAAUUUCCACAACAAACUGAAAAUAGUGAGGAAAAUUUAAUGUUGACAAUUCUAAUAAAUACUUUUCACAACA